rnacentral:rRNA from 1 species
AGGGUGCGUAGGCGGCCUUUUAAGUCUGGGGUGAAAGCCCGUUGCUUAACAACGGAACUGCCCUGGAUACUGGAAGGCUUGAGUACAGACGAGGUUGGCGGAAUGGACGGAGUAGCGGUGAAAUGCAUAGAUACCGUCCAGAACCCCCGAUUGCGAAGGCAGCUGACUAGGCUGUUACUGACGCUGAGGCACGACAGCGUGGGGGAGCGAACAGGAUUAGAUACCCUUGU